GACGUCAAAUCAGCACGGCCCUUAUGUCCAGGGCUACACACGUGUUACAAUGGCCGGUACAGAGAGAAGCAAUACUGUGAAGUGGAGCAAAACUCUAAAACCGGUCCCAGUUCGGAUUGUAGGCUGCAACUCGCCUACAUGAAGUCGGAGUUGCUUAGUAAUCGCGAAUCAGAACGUCGCGGUGAAUGCGUUCCCGGGUCUUGUACACACCGCCCGUCACACCAUGGAAGUUGGGGGCGCCCGAAGUUGGUCACAAAAUCGAUUACCUAAGGCGAAACCAAUGACUGGGGU
rnacentral:rRNA from 1 species